CGGACAGCCCGACCACCAGACAGCCCGACCCUGGACAGCCCGACCCGCUGCCCUGGACAACUCGUCCCGGUCGAGUUGUCCAGGGUUGGCUCUGAAUCGGACAACUCGACCACUUGAAUUCUUCUUCAAAAUUUCAUUAAAUAAAAUUUCAAACUUUACUUCAAUAGUAUUUUCCCGCAUAAUCCAUGUUUCUUCAAUGCAUUCUCGACAGAAAAAUUGAAAUUUCAGUGCGUUUUGAGCUAUUUUGAAAGAAAAUAUAGCGAGUUCCCUUGCAACGAGAAUAAUCCGAUACCGCCGGCGAGCCGUGUUCAUUAAUCUUACAACUUGCAAAUUUGAGUUGAUUUUUCCGUCACUUUACAUAUUUUGAUGUAUCUGUCACAGCUUUUUAAAAUGCAAAUUCCACUGGAAACAACGGGUCUUCUGGAGGAUACAAGCACUUGGGCUGGUCCCAACCACCUACACCCGGGAUGAGGAGAAGAGAUUUCAUACUCGACAAGCGAUGGCCUUUCCAUUUCUUUCACGAGCAGAAAUGAUACCGAGUUCCAAUGACUUGGGCAUCAGAGCAGCAGUCCCUUGAUCAAUGAGCUCUUUGAGACCACCUGAAUUGCAAGCUCUGUAUGGCCAGUUUUUGUGUGACAAAAUAAAAGAUAAGGGUUGAAAAUCCCUCCAGCUAAGUUAGGGAUCAUGUAAUUGCCAUGGAAACCAAAUAUAGUAAUGUAUAACAGGUUGUAUAUUCAUGAAAGUGCAAUUGUUGGAUAAAUGUUAAUUUAUAUUGGCACUAAUGUAGUUUUAAGAUUGUCCUUAUUUUUAGCUUUACAUAAACACCAAAAGCAGAGAAUAUUGUUCCCAGUUGGAAUUGUGUCAUAUUUAUUAUCAUAAUAGUAUUAUCAUAAUUGUGGUAAUGUAAUCCUAUUUGAAAUUAUGAACCAGUAUUUAUUUUGUGUGGGAUAUAAUAUGUUUUAUAUACACUGAAGUUCAAUAUGUGUUACUAUGUAAUUUUAGAUCUGAUCAAGUUUACCUUAAUGUUACUUAAUAAAACCCACUUAAAUCCAAAGAAGUAUUUUGAAUAUUUGGUUCUUGCACUAUUUUGUAUCCCUUUUCUCGCUAAAUAUUUACCUUUUAUUGAGAGCUGUGUUGACGGGUUCCAUGACAUUUGCUCUGGCAAAUUCCACACCAUAAUCUUAUGAACAGCUUCAACCAGUAAGGUCUAAACCUAACUUAAAACCAUAUUGCAACCCUGAACCUCUAUCUUAAGGGGCUUUCACAAUUGCUCGUGUGAUUGUUUGCGAUCACUUGGUCACAAUAUAUGUUGCACAGAAUUGCAACGGUGAAGGGUCGUAAGUAGUCACGCAACCAAUUGUGAAAGGGGCUUUAGACAAAAUUAAGCCUGGGGCAAUUGUCGCAGGAGCAAAUGUUGUGUCACAUGGUAAUCAGAUGGAGAUGAUUGGAGAGAUGAAGAUGGGAGGGGGUGAAGAUGGUGAAAGGUGGGAUGGCCAUGAUGAGGAGUGAUGGAGUUGAGAGGGGUGUGGAUGAUGAGUGGGUGGAGAUGAGAGGAGGGAUGGGGAUGAUGCAAGGAUGGAUGGAGAUGAUGCGGGGAGGGAUUGAGAUAAGGUUUAGAGAUGAGGAUGGAGAUGGUGAGGAGUGGUGGAGAUGGUGAGAGGAUCGAGUAGAGAUGAUGAGGUGAAUGGAGAUGAUGUGGAAGGGUUGACAGGAGUAGGGGGUGGAGAUGAGAGAGAUUGAAAUGAAAUGGGGAUGGAGAUGCGAAAAUGGUUGGAGAAGACGGGAAUGGAGAUAAUGGGGGUGGAGAUGUCAGGAGGCGUGUUGAUAACGGGAGAAGAAAGAUAAAGGGCAGGGGGGAUCAUCAUCACAAACAUUAUUGCCUCCACCAACUUCAUCAUCAUCAAUAUCAUUACCGUCAUCGUCAUUAUGACAUCAUCACCACAAACUUCAUCAUUAUCAUUGGCGCAAUGAGUGAAAGAUUUUGAGGGGUAAGAUGUGGCCCAUCAUGCCAAAGUUAUUUUUUUUUAAUUGUGAAUGAGUAAAAUUUUUGACAUUUUUAUUAGACAAACUCAUUUUUUUAUUAUAACAUCAUACUAAAACUUUUCUCUUUUCGUUUCUCUUUCAUUCAUUUUUUUGGGGUAUUUUAUCUUCUUUUUUUUGAGGGGGGUGCUCUUGCCCCCAAGACCAUGAUCCCCCACCACCUGUAUUCCACUGUUCAUUACCAACAUCAUCUACUAUCGUCAUAAUCAUCAUCAACACCACUAGCUUCAUUACCAUCAUCGUCAUCACAACAUCACCACCAUCAUCGACAUCACUAUCAUCACCACCUCCCAUCUCAUAACAAUCACCAGUCCAUAAUUAUCUUCAUCACAUCAUCAUUAUCCUCAUCACCACAUCAUCUUGAUCGUCAUCAUGAUUAUUUUAUCUGUGAUUUCAUACACAGAUACUAGUACUUAUGUCACAUUAUUCAUCUCUUACUGUAAGAUGGACUUUACAUAUCACCCAAAAAUGACAUUUCAAUCAUUGUUAGUAAAAAUCAAUGAAUAGGAUUUAUAUCUCCCUUAUCAAAUCAGCGCGUGUUGAAAACGCUUUGAAAAGGGAACCAGAUAAAUAAUAAUGUAUUUCAUAACUAUUAAUGAGAAUUAAUGAAAAGUAAAAUUUCAAGAUUCAAACUCGCAGCUAAAGAAGUCAUAUUUGCGAUUGACAAAUGGAAUAUUUCAAGCUAAAGCUGUUUGUUGGAAUUCUUGUAGAGAGUUGAUAUGAUUAUCAUUAAAGGGGUGGUCCAGGCUGAAAAUAUAUCUUAAUACACAGAGUA